rnacentral:rRNA from 1 species
GACGAACGCUGGCGGCGUGCCUAAUACAUGCAGGUAGAACGCUGAAGGAGGAGCUUGCUCUUCUGGAUGAGUUGCGAACGGGUGAGUAACGCGUAGGUAACCUGCCUGGUAGCGGGGGAUAACUAUUGGAAACGAUAGCUAAUACCGCAUAACAGUAGAUGUUGCAUGACAUUUACUUAAAAGGUGCAAUUGCAUCACUACCAGAUGGACCUGCGUUGUAUUAGCUAGUUGGUGGGGUAACGGCUCACCAAGGCGACGAUACAUAGCCGACCUGAGAGGGUGAUCGGCCACACUGGGACUGAGACACGGCCCAGACUCCUACGGGAGGCAGCAGUAGGGAAUCUUCGGCAAUGGACGGAAGUCUGACCGAGCAACGCCGCGUGAGUGAAGAAGGUUUUCGGAUCGUAAAGCUCUGUUGUAAGAGAAGAACGAGUGUGAGAGUGGAAAGUUCACACUGUGACGGUAUCUUACCAGAAAGGGACGGCUAACUACGUG